UACGUAGGGGGCAAGCGUUGUUCGGAAUCACUGGGCUUAAAGGGCGCGUAGGCGGCCCCGUCAGUCGGGGGUGAAAUCCCACGGCCCAACCGUGGAAGUGCCUCCGAUACUGCGGGGCUCGAGGGGGGUAGGGGCAGCGGGAACUUCCGGUGGAGCGGUGAAAUGCGUUGAUAUCGGAAGGAACGCCGGCGGCGAAAGCGCGCUGCUGGACCCUAUCUGACGCUGAGGCGCGAAAGCCAGGGGAGCAAACGGG
rnacentral:rRNA from 1 species